rnacentral:rRNA from 1 species
GACAGAGGGGGCAAGCGUUGCUCGGAAUUACUGGGCGUAAAGCGCACGUAGGCGGCUUUGUAAGUUAGAGGUGAAAGCCCGGGGCUCAACUCCGGAAUUGCCUUUAAGACUGCAUCGCUAGAAUUGUGGAGAGGUAAGUGGAAUUCCGAGUGUAGAGGUGAAAUUCGUAGAUAUCAGGAGGAACACCAAUAGCGAAGGCAGCUCGCUGGGACGGUACUGACGCUGAGGCGCGAAAGCGUGGGGAGCGAACAGG